UACAGAGGUCCCAAGCGUUGUUCGGAUUCACUGGGCGUAAAGGGUGCGCAGGCGGCCAAGUGUGUGAGGCGUGAAAGCCCGGGGCUUAACCCCGGAAUUGCACCUCAAACUACAUGGCUAGAGUACUGGAGAGGGAAACGGAAUUCACGGUGUAGCAGUGAAAUGCGUAGAUAUCGUGAGGAACACCAGAGGCGAAGGCGGUUUCCUGGACAGUUACUGACGCUCAGGCACGAAAGCGUGGGGAGCAAAAGGG
rnacentral:rRNA from 1 species